AACGAACGCUGGCGGCAGGCCUAACACAUGCGAGUCGAGCGAGGACUUCGGUUCUAGCGGCGGACGGGUGAGUAACGCGUGGGAAUGUGCCCUUCUCUACGGAAUACCCCUGUGAAACUGGGAGUAAUACCGUAUACGCCCUAUUGGGGAAAGAUUUAUCGGAGAAGGAUCAGCCCGCGUUGGAUUAGGUAGUUGGUGGGGUAAUGGCCUACCAAGCCGACGAUCCAUAGCUGGUUUGAGAAGAUGAUCAGCCACGCUGGGACUGAGACACGGCCCAGAAUCCUACGGAAGGCAGCAGUGGGGAAUCUUAGACGCUGGGGGCAACCGUAAUCUCGCCAUGCCGGGUGAGUGAUGAAGGCCUUAGGGUUGUACAGCUGUCUCAGCUGGGAAGAUAAUGACGGUACCAGCAGAAGAAGCCCCGGCUAACUACGUG
rnacentral:rRNA from 1 species